rnacentral:rRNA from 1 species
CCCGCACAAGCGGUGGAGCAUGUGGUUAAUUCGAUGCAACGCGAAGAACCUUACCUGGGCUUGACAUCCCGAGAAUCCCCUGGAAACAGGGGAGUGCCCUUCGGGGAGCUCGGAGACAGGUGCUGCAUGGCUGUCGUCAGCUCGUGUCGUGAGAUGUUGGGUUAAGUCCCGCAACGAGCGCAACCCUUGUCUUUAGUUGCCAUCAUUGAGUUGGGCACUUUAAAGAGACUGCCGGUGUUAAACCGGAGGAAGGUGGGGAUGACGUCAAGUCCUCAUGGCCCUUAUGUCCAGGGCUACACACGUGCUACAAUGGCCGGUACAAAGGGCUGCAAUACCGCAAGGUGGAGCGAACCCCAAAAAGCCGGUCUCAGUUCGGAUUGGAGUCUGCAACUCGACUCCAUGAAGUUGGAAUCGCUAGUAAUCGCGGAUCAGCACGCCGCGGUGAAUACGUUCCCGGGCCUU